UGGGGGAUAUUGCACAAUGGGCGAAAGCCUGAUGCAGCGACGCCGCGUGGGGGAUGAAGGCCUUCGGUUUGUAAACUUCUUUUGCUCUGAACAAGGCGCACCAUGGGGUGUGUUGAGUGUAGGGGUUGAUUAGCGCCGGCUAACUACGUGCCAGCAGCCGCGGUAAUACGUAGGGCGCGAGCGUUGUCCGGAAUUAUUGGGGGUAAAGGGCUUGUAGGUGGCUGGUUGCGUCUGUCGUGAAAGCUCAUGGCUUAACUGUGGGUUUGCGGUGGGUACGGGCUGGCUUGAGUGCAGUAGGGGAGGGUGGAAUUCCUGGUGUAGCGGUGGAAUGCGCAGAUAUCAGGAGGAAUACCGGUGGCGAAGGCGGGUCUCUGGGCUGUUACUGACACUGAGGAGCGAAAGCAUGGGGAGCGAACAGG
rnacentral:rRNA from 1 species